rnacentral:rRNA from 1 species
AACGAACGCUGGCGGCAGGCUUAACACAUGCAAGUCGAACGCCCCGCCAGGGGAGUGGCAGACGGGUGAGUAACGCGUGGGAACAUACCCUUUUCUACGGAAUAGCUCUGGGAAACUGGAAUUAAUACCGUAUACGCCCUACGGGGGAAAGAGUUAUCGGGGAAGGAUUGGCCCGCGUUGGAUUAGCUAGUUGGUGGGGUAAAGGCCUACCAAGGCGACGAUCCAUAGCUGGUCUGAGAGGAUGAUCAGCCACAUUGGGACUGAGACACGGCCCAAACUCCUACGGGAGGCAGGAGUGGGGAAUAUUGGACAAGGGGCGCAAGCCUGAUCCAGCCAUGCCGCGUGAGUGAUGAAGGCCGUAGGGUUGUAAAGCUCUUUCACCGAUGAAGAUAAUGACGGUAGUCGGAGAAGAAGCCCCGGCUAACUUCGUG